CAGCCGCCGCGGUAAUACCAGCACCCCGAGUUGUCGGGACGAUUAUUGGGCCUAAAGCAUCCGUAGCCUGUUCUGCAAGUCCUCCGUUAAAUCCACCUGCUCAACGGAUGGGCUGCGGAGGAUACCGCAGAGCUAGGAGGCGGGAGAGGCAAACGGUACUCAGUGGGUAGGGGUAAAAUCCAUUGAUCUACUGAAGACCACCAGUGGCGAAGGCGGUUUGCCAGAACGCGCUCGACGGUGAGGGAUGAAAGCUGGGGGAGCAAACCGGAUUAGAUACCCGGGUAGUCCCAGCUGUAAACGAUGCAGACUCGGUGAUGCAUUGGCUUGUGGCCAAUGCAGUGCCGCAGGGAAGCCGUUAAGUCUGCCGCCUGGGAAGUACGUACGCAGGUAUGAAACUUAAAGGAAUUGGCGGGGGAGCAC
rnacentral:rRNA from 2 species